CACCCCAGUCUUAAUCAGUGGUGGAAGAACGGUCUCAGAACUGUUUGUCUCAAUUGGCCAUUUAAGUGUAAUAGUAAAAGACUGGUUAAUGAUUACAAUGCAUCGUAAAACCUUCAGAAGGAAAGGAGAAUGUUUUGUGGACCAUUUGUUUUUUUGUGUGGCAGUUUUUAAGUUAUUAGUUUUUAAAAUCAGUACUUUUUAAUGGAAACAACUUGACCAAAAAUCUGUCACAGAAUUUUGAGACCCAUUAAAACAAAGUUUAAUGAGAAACCUGUGUGUUCUUUUGGUCAACACUGUAACUUCCCAUAUAGUACUACUUAGCUCUAAUACCUGUCUCUGAAGUCUGCUGAAGUGCACCCCCCCACCCUGAGGUUCUUCUUUGUCAAAUCGGAAAUAUAGAAAAUUCAGGUGGAGCCCAGCCGGCGAUUGGAACUGGCUCAGGCGAUUGGAACUCCGCGCUCCUAACGUUGAAGGCUGCUGGUUUGAUUCCCAAAUGGGCCAGUGGGCUCUCAACCACAACGUUGCUGGUUCGAUUCCUCGAGUCCCACAAAGGAUGGUGGGCUCCACCCUUUGCAACUAAGAUUGAACACGGCACCUUGAGCUG
rnacentral:lncRNA from 1 species